rnacentral:rRNA from 1 species
CCUACGGGGAGCAGCAGUGGGGAAUAUUGGGCAAUGGGCGCAAGCCUGACCCAGCAAUGCCGCGUGAAGGAAGAAGGCUUUCGGGUUGUAAACUUCUUUGACAGGGGAAGAGCAGAAGACGGUACCCUGAAAACAAGCCACGGCUAACUACGUGCCAGCAGCCGCGGUAAUACGUAGGUGGCAAGCGUUGUCCGGAUUUACUGGGUGUAAAGGGCGUGUAGCCGGGAAGGCAAGUCAGAUGUGAAAUCUGGAGGCUCAACCUCCAAAUUGCAUUUGAAACUGUUUUUCUUGAGUACUGGAGAGGCAGACGGAAGUCCUUGUGUAGCGGUGAAAUGCGUAGAUAUAAGGAGGAACACCAGUGGCGAAGGCGGUCUGCUGGACAGCAACUGACGGUGAGGCGCGAAAGCGUGGGGAGCAAACAGGAUUAGAUACCCCAGUAGUC